rnacentral:rRNA from 1 species
AGCCUGAACGCUGGCGGCGUGGCUAAGACAUGCAAGUCGCACGGGGUAGCAAUACCCAGUGGCGAACGGGAGAGUAAUGAAUCGCUAACGUACCCCGGACUCUGGGAUAGCUAUCCGAAAGGGUAGGUAAUACCAGAUCAUAUAACCGACAGGCAUCUGUUGGUUCUCAAAGGUCCGCCGGUCUGGGAGCGGGCGAUUCGUAUCAGCUAGUGUGAGGUAACGGCUCACCAAGGCGACGACGCGUAGCCGGACUGAGAGGUUGGCCGGCCUCAUUGGGACUGAGACACUGCCCAGACUCCUACGGGGGGCUGCAGUAACGAAUCUUCCGCAAUGCACGAAAGUGUGACGGAGCGACGCCGCGUGUGGGACGAAGCCCUUCGGGGUGUAAACCACUGUCAGGGUUACCAAGUUCUGAGGAGCCCCAGAGGAAGGCACGGCUAACUCUGUGCAGCAGCCGC